UACCUGCAGCCCGAGUGGUGGCCGUUAUUAUUGGGCCUAAAACGUCCGUAGCCGGCUGAGUAGAUGCCUGUGUAAAUCGAACGGCUUAACCGUUCGAACUGCGGGUAGACCGCUCAGCUUGGGACCGGGAGAGUCACGAAGUACUCCGGGGGUAGAGGUGAAAUUCUGUAAUCCUCGGGGGACUACCGGUGGCGAAGGCGGUUCUCUGGGCCUGACCUGACGCUGAGGAGCGAAAGCGUGGGGAGCGAACAGG
rnacentral:rRNA from 1 species